GCGCUUUUAGUUCAGUUCGAUAGAACGUAGGUCUCCAAAACCUAAUGUCGUAGGUUCAAGUCCUACAGAGCGUG
rnacentral:tRNA from 1 species